rnacentral:rRNA from 1 species
GAUUCUGGCUCAGGAUGAACGCUGGCGGCGUGCCUAACACAUGCAAGUCGAGCGGAGUUAGAAGAAGAAGCUUGCUUCAUUUCUAACUUAGCGGCGGACGGGUGAGUAACACGUGAGUAACCUGCCCUCGAGUGGGGAAUAACACCGAGAAAUCGGUGCUAAUACCGCAUAAUGUCAUGAGACCGCAUGAUCUUAUGACCAAAGGAUUUAUUCGCUUAAGGAUGGACUCACGUCCGAUUAGUUAGUUGGUGAGGUAACGGCCCACCAAGACAUCGAUCGGUAGCCGAACUGAGAGGUUGAUCGGCCACAUUGGGACUGAGACACGGCCCAGACUCCUACGGGAGGCAGCAGUGGGGAAUAUUGGGCAAUGGGCGAAAGCCUGACCCAAGCAACGCCGCGUGAAGGAUGAAGGUCUUCGGAUUGUAAACUUCUUUGAUCAGGGACGAAACAAAUGACGGUACCUGAAGAACAAGCCACGGCUAACUACGUGCCAGCCGCAGC